UACAGAGGCCUCGAGCGUUAGGCGGAAUCACUGGGCUUAAAGCGUGUGUAGGCGGACCCCUAAGUACCUUGUGAAAUCCCACGGCUCAACCGUGGAACUGCUGGGUAUACUGGUUGUCUUGAGCCAGCUAGGGGCGAGCGGAACAGACGGUGGAGCGGUGAAAUGCGUAGAUAUCGUCUGGAACGCCGAAGGUGAAAACAGCUCGCUGGGGCUGCGCUGACGCUGAGACACGAAAGCCAGGGGAGCGAACGGG
rnacentral:rRNA from 1 species